AUUGAACGCUGGCGGCAUGCCUUACACAUGCAAGUCGAACGGCAGCACGGGUGCUUGCACCUGGUGGCGAGUGGCGAACGGGUGAGUAAUGCAUCGGAACGUACCCGGAAGUGGGGGAUAACGUAGCGAAAGUUACGCUAAUACCGCAUAUUCUGUGAGCAGGAAAGCAGGGGAUCUUCGGACCUUGCGCUUUCGGAGCGGCCGAUGUCGGAUUAGCUAGUUGGUGAGGUAAAGGCUCACCAAGGCGACGAUCCGUAGCGGGUCUGAGAGGAUGAUCCGCCACACUGGGACUGAGACACGGCCCAGACUCCUACGGGAGGCAGCAGUGGUGAAUUUUGGACAAUGGGGGCAACCCUGAUCCAGCCAUGCCGCGUGAGUGAAGAAGGCCUUCGGGUUGUAAAGCUCUUUUGUCAGGGAAGAAAUGGUCUGGGUUAAUACCCUGGGCAGAUGACGGUACCUGAAGAAUAAGCACCGGCUAACUACGUGCCAGCCGCCGCAGUAA
rnacentral:rRNA from 1 species